rnacentral:rRNA from 1 species
AUUGAACGCUGGCGGCAGGCUUAACACAUGCAAGUCGAACGAUGAUUAUCUAGCUUGCUAGAUAUGAUUAGUGGCGGACGGGUGAGUAACAUUUAGGAAUCUGCCUAGUAGUGGGGGAUAGCUCGGGGAAACUCGAAUUAAUACCGCAUACGACCUACGGGUGAAAGGGGGCGCAAGCUCUUGCUAUUAGAUGAGCCUAAAUCAGAUUAGCUAGUUGGUGGGGUAAAGGCCCACCAAGGCGACGAUCUGUAACUGGUCUGAGAGGAUGAUCAGUCACACCGGAACUGAGACACGGUCCGGACUCCUACGGGAGGCAGCAGUGGGGAAUAUUGGACAAUGGGGGCAACCCUGAUCCAGCCAUGCCGCGUAUGUGAAGAAGGCCUUUUGGUUGUAAAGCACUUUAAGCAGGGAGGAGAGGCUAAUGGUUAAUACCCAUUAGAUUAGACGUUACCUGCAGAAUAAGCACCGGCUAACUCUGUGCCAGCAGCCGCGGUAAUACAGAGGGUGCGAGCGUUAAUCGGAAAUCCUGGGCGUAAAGCGAGUGUAGGUGGCUCAUUAAGUCACAUGUGAAAUCCCCGGGCUUAACCUGGGAACUGCAUGUGAUACUGGUGGUGCUAGAAUAUGUGAGAGGGAAGUAGAAUUCCAGGUGUAGCGGUGAAAUGCGUAGAGAUCUGGAGGAAUACCGAUGGCGAAGGCAGCUUCCUGGCAUAAUAUUGACACUGAGAUUCGAAAGCGUGGGUAGCAAACAGGAUUAGAUACCCUGGUAGUCCACGCCGUAAACGAUGUCUACUAGCCGUUGGGGUCCUUGAGACUUUAGUGGCGCAGUUAACGCGAUAAGUAGACCGCCUGGGGAGUACGGCCGCAAGGUUAAAACUCAAAUGAAUUGACGGGGGCCCGCACAAGCGGUGGAGCAUGUGGUUUAAUUCGAUGCAACGCGAAGAACCUUACCUGGUCUUGACAUAGUGAGAAUCCUGCAGAGAUGCGGGAGUGCCUUCGGGAAUUCACAUACAGGUGCUGCAUGGCUGUCGUCAGCUCGUGUCGUGAGAUGUUGGGUUAAGUCCCGCAACGAGCGCAACCCUUUUCCUUAUUUGCCAGCGGGUUAAGCCGGGAACUUUAAGGAUACUGCCAGUGACAAACUGGAGGAAGGCGGGGACGACGUCAAGUCAUCAUGGCCCUUACGACCAGGGCUACACACGUGCUACAAUGGUAGGUACAGAGGGUUGCUACACAGCGAUGUGAUGCUAAUCUCAAAAAGCCUAUCGUAGUCCGGAUUGGAGUCUGCAACUCGACUCCAUGAAGUCGGAAUCGCUAGUAAUCGCAGAUCAGAAUGCUGCGGUGAAUACGUUCCCGGGCCU